rnacentral:rRNA from 1 species
GACGAACCGCCCGAACGUUAUUCGGAAUCAUUGGGCUUAAAGGGUGCGUAGGCGGCGCUGUAAGUCGUGUGUGAAAUCUCUCGGCUUAACCGAGGAACUGCGCAUGAUACUGCAGUGCUUGAGGGAGACAGAGGUAAGCGGAACUGAUGGUGGAGCGGUGAAAUGCGUUGAUAUCAUCAGGAACACCGGUGGCGAAAGCGGCUUACUGGGUCUCUUCUGACGCUGAGGCACGAAAGCUAGGGGAGCAAACGGG